AUAUGCUUGUUCGGGAGACUAAGCCAUGCAAGUGAUGGAGCAAUAUAAAAAUCUGCGAUAAGCUCCGUAUAUCUGUUAUAACCUGUCGCGUUGCCAAGUUUCCGGUGUUAGCCGGUCACCACGGAUAAUGUCGGAAACACUGGCAAUAAGACGUUGUAGCCUUUAGGGGGUGCCCAGCUGUUUGUGGGUUGCUUCGGCAAAACACAACCAGAACAACUGGCCAUUUCCUGGGGCUGCCGCCUCUAUUGAGGGCACACCGAGCUUGGGGUACAUACGGAUCUUUCCUGUAUGUUGGACUUACUGGGUGCUAGCCGCAUCCAGCUACUUCCAGCCUCUGCAGGACUGUUUCCUCCCAAUGUCUUGACCGUGCAGGAUAUAGGGUGGCAGGUACAGAAUCCUCGAUGCACGUGCUUUCAGCACGCUCGCGAGGGGUUUCAGUCCUAUCAACUAGACGGAUGGGUAACCUCCAUCCAUGGUUAUAACGGGUACAGAGGAUUAGGGUUUGAUCCUGGAGAGGUAGCCUUAAAUAUUGCUCCCACUUCCAUGGAAGGCAGCAGGCGCGCAACGUUCUCAAUGGUCUACGAGCCUUCUGACCGAAGACGUCACCGAACAUAGCAAUACCCUGCCGUAAAACGCAGGGCAAUUGAAAUGGGGGCGACCCAAACCCUCCACCGAGAAGCUAUUAGAGGACAAGUCUGGUGCCAGCACCCGCGGUAAUUCCAGCUCUAAUAGCAUCUUGUUAAUUUGUUGCAGUUAAAACGCUCGUAGCCGAUUUCGACUCGUCAAAGAGGGCUUGUAUCAUGCCUGCUUUGCGGCUUUCUCUCCUCCGGGAUUGACUGUGGCACUACUCCGUUCCCCCUCCCUUCUUUGGUUUUAGGAUCGACGGGGACGGUGUACCUGCCUUUUCGCACUGUGGCCGCAUGGUCAGGUUUCUCUUUGCCUUGUCAUGCUUGGGGUUCUAUACAGUGAGAGUGGCCACGCAGGACGGGCUUCUCCGCACCCACUGCGGGAGCGGGCAGGCACGUCCGGUGGUUAGACGCUCAUUGUGAACUCUGAAGGUUACUUUGAGGAAACUCGAGUGAUCAAAGCAGGUCUUUACGAUGAAGAAGCUAGCAAAGAAUAUUUAUAUUCUGACCUUCCUGGCUGGUGAACAAGGAACCCAUGAGGGAUGGAGGGACAGCCUCCCACCAUCUUGACUGGGACAACCCUCCUUGUUGUGUUGCCCACCAGGUCUUCUGGUUAAAGACAAAUGGGAAAGAUCGGUGUCAGCCACAUGAUGAGGGUAGGGGUGAAAUCCGUUGAUCCCCAUCAGGUGUCCAAAAGCGAAAGCAGCUGACAAGUACUUCUCCCUCGGUCAAGAACGAAAGUCUGGGGAGCGAAUGUGAUCAGAUACCACAGUAGUCCAGACUGUAAACUUUGCCUACUCUGGGCGGACCCUUGUCCACCUGACUCAGCCUGAACUCCGAGAGAAAUCGAAGUUUGGUUCUGGGGGGAGUAUGGUCGCAAGAAGGAAACUUAAAGGAAUUGACGGAAGAGCACACAAGAAGUGGAGCCUGCGGCGUAAUUGGACUCAACACCGGAAAACUUACUAGAGCCAAUAGUGGUAUGAUUGACUGCUUGCAGAGCUUUCAUGAUCACUUGUUGGUGGUGCAUGGCCGUUCUUAGUUCGUGGAGUGAUUCGUCUGGUUAAUUCCGUUAACGAGCGAGAACCGAACGACCUAAGUUGAGGAGGUAUUGCUUAAAUGGACUGAGGUUCAUUGUUCUGGUCGGGUGCGGCUUCCCCUGCCCCUGGGGGGGUCCUCUAGGAGGUAGCACGAGGUGACCCUACCCUCGUGUGCCCUCCCUGAGGGUUUGCUGUGCUCGAUUGGGAUGGUGACUCCAAGCCUCUUUCCACCUUAACAAUACUGAGUCACUAGGAGAACUGGGCUCCGAAAGGAGCUGUGUAAUCGGGUCAAUAACAGGUCAUUGAUGCCCUUAGAUGCUCUAGGCCGCACGCGCGCUACAAUGGGGGAGCUAGCGAGUUUCUGCCCUGGGAACCGGCAGGAAAUCGCAAAAAUCCCUCCCACCUGGGACUGCAGAGUGGUCGUGCAACUCUCUUCACGAACCAGGAAUUUCUUGUAAGCGCGCGUCAGCACCGCGUGUUGACUCUGUUACUGCUCUUUGUACACACCGCCCGUCGCUCCUACCGAUUGAAUUAAAUACUGAGGAACUACGAGUAGGCAGUUCCCGCACUUCCCCCCUGUAAGCUCAAGGGUGACCUUGUCCUCAGGGGCGCGGGGUUCACAGCUGCCUGGCUCGUAACUUCCAAAGUGCUUGGUUUAGAGGAAGGAGAAGUCGUAACAAGGUAUC
rnacentral:rRNA from 1 species